UGGGGAAUAUUGCACAAUGGGCGCAAGCCUGAUCCAGCCAUGCCGCGUGUAUGAAGAAGGCCUUCGGGUUGUAAAGUACUUUCAGCGGGGAGGAAGGGAGUAAAGUUAAUACCUUUGCUCAUUGACGUUACCCGCAGAACAAGCACCGGCUAACUCCGUGCCAGCAGCCGCGGUAAUACGGAGGGUGCAAGCGUUAAUCGGAAUUACUGGGCGUAAAGCGCACGCAGGCGGUUUGUUAAGUCAGAUGUGAAAUCCCCGGGCUCAACCUGGGAACUGCAUCUGAUACUGGCGAGCUUGAGACUCGAAGAGGGGGGUAGAAUUCCAGGUGUAGCGGUGAAAUGCGUAGAGAUCGGGAGGAAUACCGGUGGCGAAGGCGGCCCCCUGGACGGAGACUGACGCUCAGGUGCGAAAGCGUGGGGAGCAAACAGG
rnacentral:rRNA from 1 species